CUACGGGUCGCUCCAGUGGGGAAUAUUGCACAAUGGGCGCAAGCCUGAUGCAGCCAUGCCGCGUGUAUGAAGAAGGCCUUCGGGUUGUAAAGUACUUUCAGCGGGGAGGAAGGGAGUAAAGUUAAUACCUUUGCUCAUUGACGUUACCCGCAGAAGAAGCACCGGCUAACUCCGUGCCAGCAGCCGCGGUAAUACGGAGGGUGCAAGCGUUAAUCGGAAUUACUGGGCGUAAAGCGCACGCAGGCGGUUUGUUAAGUCAGAUGUGAAAUCCCCGGGCGCAACCUGGGAACUGCAUCUGGUACUGGCAAGCUUGAGUCUCGUAGAGGGGGGUAGAAUUCCAGGUGUAGCGGUGAAAUGCGUAGAGAUCUGGAGGAAUACCGGUGGCGAAGGCGGCCCCCUGGACGAAGACUGACGCUCAGGUGCGAAAGCGUGGGGAGCAAACAGGAUUAGAUACCCCGGUAGUC
rnacentral:rRNA from 1 species